rnacentral:rRNA from 1 species
CACGUAGGGGGCAAGCGUUGUCCGGAUUUAUUGGGCGUAAAGAGCUCGUAGGUGGCUGAGUAAGUCGGAUGUUAAAUCCCCAGGCUCAACCUGGGACACCACCCGAUACUGCUCUGGCUAGAGUCCGGUAGGGGAGCGUGGAAUUCCUAGUGUAGCGGUGAAAUGCGUAGAGAUUAGGAAGAACACCAGUGGCGAAGGCGACUUACUGGACUGUAACUGACGCUGAGGCAUGAAAGCGUGGGGAGCAAACAGG